GAUGAACGCUGGCGGUAUGCUUAACACAUGCAAGUCGAACGGACUCUUCGGAGUUAGUGGCGGCCGGGUGAGUAACGCGUGAGAAUCUGGCUUUGGGUUCGGGACAACCACUGGAAACGGUGGCUAAUACCGGAUGUGCCGAGAGGUAAAAGAGAAAUUGCCUGAAGAUGAGCUCGCGUCUGAUUAGCUAGUUGGUGAGGUAAAGGCUCACCAAGGCAGCGCUCAGUAGCUGGUCUGAGAGGAUGACCGGCCACACUGGGACUGAGACACGGCCCAGACUCCUACGGGAGGCAGCAGGGGGGAAUGUUCCGCAAUGGGCGAGAGCCUGACGGAGCAAUACCGCGUGAAGGAAGAAGUCUCUUGGGUUGUAAAACUCUUUUCUUAGGGAAGAACGAAAUGACGGUACCUAAGGAAUCAGCAUCGGCUAACUCCGUG
rnacentral:rRNA from 1 species